AGCAUCUUCAGGUAGCCCAUUUUCCAACUUCCAACAGCUCCGUUCAAUUAUUUUCUGACCCAGACCAUUCAACCUCGACCUAACCCAAUUCUGUAUUCAUAAAGAAGAACCCAACGCGUGCAAUUUGUAGAAACCCAGCAGCCCGAAUGAAAAAACAAGUUUCUGGCUCCAACAAUCACAGACGAAGCAAAAAAUACACAAUGUCUUCUCAAUUCACUCGAGACGACAAUCCAAGCAGCGAGAAAAUGACGUCCUCAACAGUGAUUUGAAAUAAUGUCAUCACGUAGUCGAACACGACGUCAAAUAGAUAGAAAGUAGUACACUAUGUCUAUCUUUUCGUCUUCUUCAUAUGUCCCUUUCAAUCAUGCGGCAACAAUGAAGGCACGCGGAAGCACCUUUAUAGUGUGGGAUCGCUCCACAUCGUCGCUCAAGGAUGAGGGUGUCGAUCCUUGCCGUCUAUCUUGUUAUUUUCUCUUCCAGAAUGGUUUGAAACUUCAGAAAAAGGGUGUUUCACUUUAAUUGUGAAAGAAUUGGGAGUUUGAAUUUUGAUUUGGUCACUUUUUCUUAAGGAUUUCAUCCAUUUCCCCCAUUUUGAGCCCUAAUUUCUCCUCUAUGUAUAGUUGCUUAUUAUUCAUGGUUGAAAUGCGGAGAAAAAAGAUUGAGAUGAAUUAGCUGGAAUUUGAGAGGAAAUACGAUAAACUACUAGCUUAAAUGUUUGCAUACAAAUAUUUGGGAAUAGGUUUCAGAAGUUGAGAGAGUGAGUUUCGCCGUUGAUCUAGUCUUCUGCUCGUUUCUAUGAGAUUUCUAGUGUUGGUCGAAUCUUAUGCUCAUUUCUCUGUUCACGUGAGUUCACUAGAGUCAUCGGUUGUAGUGGUUGAAGAGCUCGUUCUGUCUCGGUUGCUGUCCGGAAAAAGGUGCAAAAAAUGUGAAAUUGCAAAUUGAAGAAGGCAGAAAUACAAAGUUCGAAUAAAACUAUAGGUUUCGAAAGGACCAAAAAGGAGUUGGAUACAAGUCGUAUACAAAAGUAUACAACAAUGUAUACUAGAUUCUCCAUUAGAAAUGGGCCAAAGUCCCAUUUAAAAUUGCUGCAAGAGUUUGGAAGAGUUGGGCCUAAAAGUCCAUUUUGUUGAAUUUGGCGAAGAGCCCAAGUUCAAACUUUCUGUUUCUCCCUCCUUAUUUAUUUGCUUUAGUAUUGAAUAACAUUUCUUAUUUAAUUUUAGUUUGACUUAAUUAAUUUCUCAAA